UACGGAGGAUGCGAGCGUUAUCCGGAUUUAUUGGGUUUAAAGGGUGCGUAGGCGGCUUUUUAAGUCAGCGGUGAAAUUUUGCAGCUUAACUGUAACAGUGCCGUUGAUACUGCCAGGCUAGGAUUUGGUUGCUGUGGGUGGAAUGUGUGGUGUAGCGGUGAAAUGCUUAGAUAUCACACAGAAUAUCGAUUGCGAAGGCAGCUCACAAAGCCAAGAUUGACGCUGAGGCACGAAAGUGUGGGGAUCAAACAGGAUUA
rnacentral:rRNA from 1 species